rnacentral:rRNA from 1 species
AAAGCUCGUAGUUGGAUUUCUGUUAAUAAUUUAUAUAUAAUAUUUAACAUAUUUAUAUAAUAUUAACAUAAUUCAUAUUACUAUUUAUAGUAUAUGAAACUUUACUUUGAGAAAAUUAGAGUGCUUAAAGCAGGCUUUUGCCUUGAAUACUAGAGCAUGGAAUAAUAUUAAAGAUUUUUAUCUUUCUUAUUGGUUCUAAGAUAGAAAUAAUGAUUAAUAGGGACAGUUGGGGGCA